UACAACAUAGAGUUAUUGCAUUGGGUCCCAUUAGAACUUCGUAGUUAAGCACACUUAAGCUAGAGUAGUAUUGGGAUGAGUGACCACUCAGGAAGUCCUAGUGUUUUAC
rnacentral:rRNA from 1 species